rnacentral:rRNA from 1 species
CGUGUAGGCGGUUGGGUAAGUCAGAUGUGAAAGCCUUCUGCUUAACAGAAGAAGUGCAUUUGAAACUGCUCGGCUAGAGUACGGGAGAGGAGAGUGGAAUUCCCGGUGUAGAGGUGAAAUUCGUAGAUAUCGGGAGGAACACCAGUGGCGAAGGCGGCUCUCUGGUCCGAUACUGACGCUGAGACGCGAAAGCGUGGGGAGCAAACAGGAUUAGAUACCCUGGUAGUCCACGCCGUAAACGAUGGGCGACUAGGUGUAGGAGGUAUUGACCCCUUCUGUGCCGAAGCUAACGCAUUAAGUGCCCCGCCUGGGGAGUACGGCCGCAAGGCUAAA